CUUUCCCCUGCGGCCUCUGCUCUGGCGGGAGUACCCCGGCCGAGCUCCCAGACACCCCCAGGAUGACUUGAAAGUAGGGCAUCAUUGGCCCUCCUGAAGAGAGGAAAUUAGUGGCUGGUGAACAGUCAGUAUGGCAUUCUCAGAUGCCUUUACCUGAGAGAGAAAUCUGCCUCCAUCAGGACCUCAGAUGUCUGACAGCCCUAUGUGACACCAGGAUAGGAUAUUCCUGUAAAUAAACUGCAGGACGCGUGGUGCUUUGCAACACUGACAACAUUUACUACGUGUUGAUGAUGUGCCAGAAUUGUAAACACAUUCUACAUAUCUUAAUCCUCUCAUCAGGCCUACAAGAGAAAGAAUGUGGUGGGAAGCGGGAGAGAGAGAAUCUUAAGCAGGCUCCAGGCCCCUGCAGAUCCCAAUGUUGGACUCUAUCUCACCAGCCUGAGAUCAUGACCUGAAUGAAGAGUCGGACCUUCAACCUAAUGAUCCAACCAGGUGCUCCAAAGAUUACUUUUUUAAAGGUUGGGGUAGAGUAGGGUUCCAUGCAUAGUAGUACAACUGCUAAAUUAAGGGCAUAAAGAUAAACAAACUUGUUACAAAUAAUACAACACAGAAAAGUUAUUCCAAGAUUAUUUCAACAAUAUAUCGAGAAUAAUCUCCCUA